UAGGGAAUAUUGCUCAAUGGGGGAAACCCUGAAGCAGCAACGCCGCGUGGAGGAUGACACUUUUCGGAGCGUAAACUCCUUUUGUUAGGGAAGAACAAUGACGGUACCUAACGAAUAAGCACCGGCUAACUCCGUGCCAGCAGCCGCGGUAAUACGGAGGGUGCAAGCGUUACUCGGAAUCACUGGGCGUAAAGGACGCGUAGGCGGAUUAUCAAGUCUCUUGUGAAAUCCUAUGGCUUAACCAUAGAACUGCUUGGGAAACUGAUAAUCUAGAGUGAGGGAGAGGCAGAUGGAAUUGGUGGUGUAGGGGUAAAAUCCGUAGAGAUCACCAGGAAUACCCAUUGCGAAGGCGAUCUGCUGGAACUCAACUGACGCUAAUGCGUGAAAGCGUGGGGAGCAAACA
rnacentral:rRNA from 2 species